ACUAUUCUAGAAUAAAUAAAAGCCAGGGUAGUAAAGUUUAAACCUAAAAAAUUUGGCGGUGGUUUAAAUUACCAGAGGAACUUGUCCUGUAAUUGAUAACCCACAUUAUAACUUACUUUAUUUAAAGCUUGUAUACCGUCGUCAUCAGGGUAUUUUGAAAAUUAUACUCAAGAUUUAAAAUUAAAAGAUGUCAGAUCAAGGUGUAGCUAAUAAUAAAGAAGAGAUGAGUUACAAUAAUUUAAAUUAAACGGAUUAAAUUGUAAAUUAAAUGAAGGUGGAUUUGAGUGUAAAUUUUUAUAGAAGAUAAAUUGAUAAAAUACCUAAACU
rnacentral:rRNA from 1 species